rnacentral:snRNA from 1 species
AUAUAUCCAGACACAAGAUUUUG